ACUAAAACUGAAAAACAAACCUAAAUUGAAGCAAAUAUAUAAAGAGAGAUUUUUUUGUCAAAUGUUUUAUGUCAAAAUGUCAAAAACGAGUAGCAAAUUUACUAAAACUAGUAAUAAAAUAUAUUAUAAGGCAGAGUUUAUUCAAAAUACUGAUAAUUACAGACACACUUUAAUUUAAGGUUCAAUUUUCACUAUUAACAAACCAUUAAUUACAACUUUGUCCUCAGUAAACUCCUAAGUUGCUGCUUAUUAAUACUGUAGUUAGUAAAGUAUGUGUUCAGUUUAGGUGUAGGGCAGGAUUAGAGAUCGAGGUCAUGCAGAAUAUGUAUUAAACAGCCAAUAUGUUAAUAACAGGCAUGCUAAUAAACUAGUUAUUAGUGAGAAUUGGUCUCUAUACUAAAGUGUAACCAUAAUUAUUGUAAAAGUAUAUAAAUAACACUAAAAUAACUGGACUUGAAUCCAACAGUCUUAGACUACAAUGAAAUUCUGGUAUUUUUUACUCAAUGAAUUGUGAUCAUGUGAGCUUGUGUACAGCCAGUGAGAUGUCCUUGCUUCCACUGAAGCUCAUGAUGUUCUUCUGAUCAUUCUCAAAUCAUGUUUGACACAAACUUGCAUGCUGCCAUCAUUAAAGCAAAAGAGAGACGAACCAGAUAUCAAGAGAUUAUAAAUUCAUAUUAAUGAAUAUUUCAUGGUAGUCAGUCAGCGUGAAAAAUCUUUGAAGACCACUGGUGUCUGGGGAUAUGGAGAUUGAGUCAUUGCAUAUGCAAUUUACUGUACAUACAUACAAUACAGUACGUACAUCUUCACAACCCACAGUGAUGUGUGCUAACAUUAGCUCUGCCUCCACUCUCUGCUCUCAUUGUGACUGUAUAAUGUCAGGCCCUUCAUUACUCAUCUUCACAGGAGUAACCGGAGUGAUGCUGGGCCAUUUUCUCCCUAUAUCUGGCCAAUCAGAGCACACAUCCCCGCUAUUUUUGGACAAAAGACGUACAAUAUCAAUUCCCUGAGCUGAUGAGAACUAAUUCUGAGCUGGCUGGUGAUGCCCUGCAUAGGCACACACACACACACACACACACACACACACACCGCUGGUCUUCAUCAGAGCAUCACAGCACUGAUUUCUCAGGAUUAAGCAGAUAUUAUUGAACUGAGGAGGAAUUCAUCAGCUGGAUACAAUGAGGAGAGGUUAAACAUUUCUGCUCUUCGUGACACCUGCGACUAAAGCAGCAGCGCUCUCAUUACUUCUGUCCUUCCUCUGAGACAAUUUAUUUCCGAGCCUUUCCAAAACUGGAAAAUGAUGACAAUUUACUCACACGCUGUUCCGAGACCAUGUAAAUCUCAUGGAAACAUUUCCCAGUCACCUUAAAGUUGUGAUGUAAUUAAAGUAGAGACAGAUCUUUACUUCCAUAUUGUGAUGGGCAUUAUUAUUAUUAUUAUUAUUAUUUAAAAAGAUUAUUGAAAAAGAAAAACAAGUAGGGCGGGGCUUGAUUAAAUCAGUUGAUUGUUGAUUGGAUAGAGGCAGAUCUGAAUGUGAGCUUACAGUCGAUUGUAAGAAAGGGGCGGAGUUUAAGUGGACUAAUGCGGUAUAUGUCACCAAAGAUACAUUUUAAUGGAUCAUAUUAUGAUACUGUGAUUUAACAUUACAAGAUCAAAUAAAAAAAUAAAAAAAUAGAGACCAUUGUGAAUAAUUUACAAAAAUACAAAAUAGCAUGCAUUCAUGCAGACUUUAAAAUUGCAGUAAUGCAAAUGAAAAUCAAUCUUUUUAGUAUCUAAUAUUAAUUCAGGUGAUGCAUCUAGAUGUUUUCCUUUUUUUUAAUUCCCAUUUAUUCUAAUUAGAGAUUUAAUUACAGUAUUUUGUAAUACCUGAAGAAAGCUAUCUGUUAUAAUUCUUUUUAGUUAGUCUAACCAGUCCAAAGUACAACCAAUUCUACCACAAUGUAAAAUAAUUUAAAUUGUAUUUUUUUAAAGAAUUAAUAAAAAAUAAAAAAAUUAGCAUUAUACUAAUAAUAAUGACUUGUCAUUAUGUUACAUAGAGGGGCAUCGUUAAAAUUAAUAAAUAUAAAAAGUGGUACUACAAAUAGACAUUAAGUUUUCAGAUUCACACACCCAAAUAAAUAUAUAUAUUUUCCCUUUAUUUCAUUAAACACAAAAAGAUUUAGCCAAAAUAUGGGAGAGGCUUCAAACACUGAUCCCCAUGAGCCAACAGCUCCUGUAUGUACCACUGCGCCAUAAAAGAACACCAUCGUCAGUUUUGAGGAGCGUCUCCUUUAAAUAAGGGUGGGAGAUGGCAGGGUGCAGCUGAGGACAGAGGAGAGCAGUUCAGUUCGGCCCAUUUUUAUACAACUCAUUUGGUCACGUCAUGAAAUCUCACACUUACAGCAUAUAUGAAUCUGUGUCUGUGGGAUCCACAUGGACGUGUGUUUGAGUCAUUGCUCAGGGCACCUGGUUGGGUAUUUUUCAUGUCAAAUGAGGUGAGUCAAACAUGUCAUAUGAGUUUAGUGACUCAGCAGCUCAUUUGGUUCUAUUUCUGCCUAUACAUGUGCUUUUUCAUAUCUCUGGGUCUUUUCUCUGUUUUUUAUGACUCUUUCCCUCCCUCUUUCUGUCUCUCUUCCAUUGGCCUGUCAGUUGAUUAGAGAAUGCAAAUUCAUUGUUUAUAACACUUCACUCCUUCUCAGACCUUUAUGGGAUGCCUAGCAACCAGGCAAUUGUAUCAUACAGUGCAAGAGAGCUGAUAAUGAGACAUAGAAGCAGUGUUAAGGCCAUUUCAAAUGAGACGUGGCAUGCAUUAAAAUCAGUCAAGGCAGAGCACACUUCACGCUUGCACAGGCUGAUGUUGCUUUGGUCAUCAUGCAUUUGCACCAAGUGCUAGGAUUGCUAGGAUCCUUUAGGAUGCAUUAUUGUAUUUUAUACUUUGGAAACCACUUGGUUUGUUUGCACAUUCAUUCCCAAACUCACAAGCCAACAAAAAAAAAUCUAAUCUAAUAGCUUUGUUUUUGUUGGAAUAAUAUUUGCAGUUUAAAAUGCAUUUUUAAAAGGGUUUACAGUUUGCCGCAGGUUUUUUUUUUUUUUUUUUUUUUUUUGUAGGGAUGCUUUGCACAAUUUGGCCAAAAAGGUUGUGAUAAUAACUAUAAAACAACAACAACUAUUAUUAUGCAAAGUAACAAAUAUGAGUACUGUAAUAAUAUUAGUGUAAAUUAAAAAGUGUAUUUAGAAAAUUUUACAGGCAAAAAAAUACAAUUUGGUGAAAUUACAAGUCUAAUAUUUAUGUUUUUAAUUUCUUAAUUUUCAAAUGGGAGAGGGGGAUCUAACUGAGAUUGGGAUCAAAUUUGUGAUUUAAAAUGUAUUUUUAAAGAGCUCCAGGUUGCUUUGUUUUUUUUUUAGGUCUGCACAAUUUGGCCACAAAAUCUAUUUAUAUUAUGUCAAAAUAAUAAUAAUAUGCAAUAUUAAACAAAUGAAAAAAAUAUUUUUUCAUAUUUCAAUGUACAAUGAAAAAUAUAAAUGAUAUAAAAAAAAUCUUAGUUUGAUACUUCUGAGAAGUUAUGCAGGAUAUCAAAGAAAAUACCUUUAAUAAAGGUAAAUACAACAUAAAUUGGGAGUCAAAAUUCAGUCACACUACUUAACAAACAAGAACGGACACAGACUAAGAGAAAACAGAAUUUUUUGGGGAGGAACUGAUGAGAUAAUCAAACAUAGGUGAACAAAAUUAUAAUUAGGAGUAAAACUAGGUCACAGGCAAACAGGUGAACUGAAAAAAAAAGAGAAAAUAGAACUAGAACUAAAAAUAACCCUAACAUAACUCCCCCCUCCUGGAAGGUGUGUCUCGUACCAUAACAGUACCAUUGGGGAGGGAGGGUGGGCUCCCUGGAGGCUGGUGCAGGACAGGAACAGGGUGGAGACAAGGAGCGCCUCCAGGUUAGGGAUCUCCGGUAGCCAUGGCGGAUUCUCCGUGGCCUUGACUGGCUCGGUCACGGGUACAGUAUAUGGCCCUCCAAAAAAUAAUUAUUGGGGAAAUCUAGGAAUCCUGUGGGGAUUCUCUGGAGGAGCGGGGCUGGCUAACACUGGGUGAUCAGGAGAAGAUGGAGGGCUGGACGGGACCAGCGGAAGCAAAAGAGACUCCGGAGAUGAUGGAGGGCUGGGGGACCAGCUGAGGCGAAGUAGACUCAGGGAAGUGCCCUAGAGCAGAUUGCAUAGCAGUGGUGUAUCUGUGUUUGUCUUCUUGAAAACACAUGAAUUAGUGUAUUGUGUGUGUGUGUGUGUAUUGUCUGUCUAGUAGCUGACACUUGAUCAGCUACGAUGACACAUAUCAUCGUAGCUGGUCCCAGCUGGAUGGCAUCAGUAUCCCGUUGGAUUACACAGAUACAGGCCUGUGACACUACAUCAGUUCAAGUGGCACAUCUACAUCACUACAUAAAACUGAGCUCUUUUAUGUCCACAUGUCUGAGCAUCAAGUCCAUUUCCACUGUAAAACCACCAGCUUGUGCUUGUGCUUUGCUGUUCAGUCCUCCAGGCAGAAUCACCAGUGCAGCCUCUUGCUGAGCUGAGAUUGGUCCACUUGCCUGUCAGUCAGUGUAUUCCUGCAGCUGUGUUAUGAUCGUUCUUUCAAAACAUGCUCUGCCUGUGGCUGCUUCUUUCAUUUGUGUAUGUAAAAGCCUCAUUUCCUGCCUCGCUUUUCCCUCCUCGCUUUUUCUGCCCAGCCGAGUCAUUCUCCUCUCUGAUGUGCUUUUGAAGUGCCUGCAUAAUCAGCAGUCAUGUGCUGCCACCCAGAAAUACAACUCUGCACUGGUGUGUGUAUGUGUGCUGAAAGAGGGAACGAUGAAAUGUAAUUGCAAUGAGUAAAUCAUGCUGUUGUUUGCAGGAUUAGGGAAAGUAACACAAUUUAACUCUAGGCACACACACCAACAUAUACUGCUGUUCUAAACACACUUUUCAUGCCAUUCCAUUAAUUUACAAUAUAAAUUAUUAUUUCAGAUUCAAGAAGCUUUAUUGGCACGGGGGAAAAGGCUUCACAUUGCCAAAGCAUUAGUAAAUAUGCACAUGCACUUUUACAAACAGAGUGCAGUCCAUGAUUUAUUAUAAAUGGUUUUAGUUCAUUUUCCAGGAAAUGAAGACUGUACAUUUUAUAAGUGUAAAAGUAAGCUGCAAGGAUGUUUGUACGUGCACUGUAUGUGUAGGCCUCAAAAAAAAAAAAGAAAGAAA